GUUUUAAUAGUUUAAUAAAAACUUUGGUCUUGUAAACCAAAAAUGAAAUAAAUUUCUUAAAGCU
rnacentral:tRNA from 1 species